UUUCCGUAGGUGAACCUGCGGAAGGAUCAUUAUUGUAUAACCGAGGUGCGAGGGCUGUCGCUGACCCGAAAGGUCGUGCACGCCCGAGUGCCCUCACACACAUCCAUCUCACCCCUAUGUGCACCACCGCGUGGGCCCCCCUUUGGCUCGUUCGGAGGGGGGCUUACGUUUUCACACAAACUUUGUAUGCAGUGUAGAAUGUAUUUUUUGUUUUUGCGAUCACGCAAUCAAUACAACUUUCAACAACGGAUCUCUUGGCUCUC
rnacentral:misc_RNA from 1 species